rnacentral:rRNA from 1 species
GCAUAACGCGAAGAACCUUACCUAGGCUUGACAUGCACCUCUAAGCGCGUGAAAGCGCGUGACCCUUCGGGGGAUUUGCACAGGUGCUGCAUGGCCGUCGUCAGCUCGUGUCGUGAGAUGUUGGGUUAAGUCCCGUAACGAGCGCAACCCUUGUCCUUAGUUACCAGCACGUUAUGGUGGGCACUCUAAUGAGACUGCCGGUGAUAAACCGGAGGAAGGUGGGGAUGACGUCAAAUCAUCAUGCCCCUUAUGUCUUGGGCUACACACGUGCUACAAUGGUCGGUACAAAGGGGAGCGAAGGAGUGAUCCGGAGCAAAUCCCAAUAAACCGAUCCCAGUUCGGAUUGUAGGCUGCAACUCGCCUACAUGAAGUCGGAGUUGCUAGUAAUCGCGAAUCAGAACGUCGCGGUGAAUGCGUUCCCGGGUCUUGUACACACCG